GCAGAAGGAUCAUUAGUGAAGAUUUGGGCAGGCCAUACGGACGCCAAAAGGUGUCCCUGGCCGCCUACACCCACUAUACAUCCACAAACCCGUGUGCACUGUCUUGGAGAAAGGCUUCAGAGAAGUUUUUUGUGGCCUCUCUUGGGGUCUUUCUUCGCUACAAACUCGAAUGGUUAGUAUGAACGUGGAACUUGGUUGGACCGUCACUGGCCAACAAACUAUACACAACUUUCGACAACGGAUCUCUUGGUUCUCCCA
rnacentral:misc_RNA from 1 species